CCUACGGGAGGCAGUGAGGAAUAUUGGUCAAUGGGCUUACGCCUGAACCAGCCAAGUCGCGUGAGGGAAGACUGCCCUAUGGGUUGUAAACCUCUUUUGUCAGGGAGCUAUUGGCGCUACGUGUAGCGAUAUCGAGAGUACAUGAAGAAAAAGCAUCGGCUAACUCCGUGCCAGCAGCAGCGUAAAUACGGAGGAUGCGAGGUUUUUCCGGUUGUAUUGGGUUUAAAGGGUGCGUAGGCGGACGGCCAAGUCAGCGGAAAAAUCGAGGGGCUCAAACUCGCUCCGCCGUUGGAACUGGCGUGCUUGAGUGGGCGGGAAGUAUGCGGAAUGCGUGGUGUAGCGGUGAAAUGCAUAGAUAUCACGCAGAACUCCGAUUGCGAAGGCAGCAUACCGGCGCCCAACUGACGCUGAAGCACGAAGGCGUGGGUAUCGAACAGGAUUAGAUACCCGGGUAGUC
rnacentral:rRNA from 1 species